GAGCGGGAGACAGACAGGCAUUAGGUUUUCAAUGAAUUCAAGGACAGAGGGCUUUUUUUCAACAAUGAAAUACUAUGUUUAAUAUUAGAGGGAAUCUCCUGUUGAAGAAUAAGGAGAACUUGGCCAUUGGUACAAGAAUCUUAUAAUCUUCAGAAUAAGGAGGUCCCUGAAAACUAGUAUAGCCAAAGUCCGGUGCUGGGUCAUUGAGUGGUUACCCAAGACAGUAUAUUUGUUUAGUCACUAGGCUUCUAUGCCUUUAGGAGCAAUCUGGAUCAUGCAUAUGGAGAAAGAGAAGGAUGAUUGAAUGGGCCUCAAUGCAAUAGCUUUGGAUGGCAUCACCUAUACCCUCAGGAAUGCAAAGCUGCCAUUAUUGAUGAGAAGCAUGUAGCAACCCUGGAGUUCCUUCUGCCAGUACUGAGGGUGCUGUCUAACACUACNGUGGUGGUGAACCUGCUCGAAUCCAUUGUCCAAGGAAAAUUGCACUGGUGAGAUGUAUUCAGCAGAAAAGAUAUGAGGAAAAUAAACACUGCUAGGCCAUGUGGAUAUAGAAAAGUAAAAUUGUGAAGGCCACCUAACCAGAUGCUGGUAAAACUGGAAGUUACAAAUGGUUCAAAUCUGACACUUGAUGAACUUGUCUGGCCUUUUCUUUCGCAAAUCUGUGUGAAGAGACAUCAUGGCAGCGGAGACCUUAGUCAUAAAGAACCCCUGCUGCUGAGAAAUAUGAUAACUACAAUUUUCAAAAAUGCCUUUGGUAGAAUUGGAGAGCUUUGCUAAUGGGUUGAAAAUUGCAGCCUCCAGGCUUCCUGGAUUUAAUGGCAUUUUGACAUGCUCAGAGUUACUCAGAUCUGUCACACAAGAUGAAUUCCAAGAGGGCCAGGCUUACAAUCUCCCUGGUCUUUUUAUAAAAUAGAUGAUCUAUCAGUUUGAUCAACACAUCCUUUGUGCUAAGACCCCUUUGUGCCAAACCAUACUGAAAUGGACCCACAUAGUUAUAUUUUCAGGGGACGUUUGGCUGUCAGUAACUAGAAGAAGGUCAGUUCAGCUCUUUUGUGCAGCAUAAUUUGAAAAAAGAAGAGCCCAGGAUUAAAGUAGGCAUUUCUGCUUUCUUUAAUUUCUACUAAUUACUAUUUUCUUUUCUUUUUACUAAUUUAUAAGAUCCCUCUAAAAGGCUGUUAAUGCUCGCAGUGCCAAGUGAUUAAAGAACCAAUAUGAGAUGAAGUCACCAUGAAUGCAUGUACAUUGCCAGCAUCUUAUAUUAUAAAUUGAUGCUUUCCUUUCAUCUCAUUGACAUACACAUUCAGAAUUGAAACUUGAGACAUUUAUUUCAAGUUUAUUCAAAUGGAU
rnacentral:lncRNA from 1 species